rnacentral:rRNA from 1 species
AAAAAUUUAAUAAAAAAUAUUAAAGUAGUAUUAGUUAAGUUCUUGAAAUUUAAAAAAUUUGGCGGUAUUUUAGUCUAUUCAGAGGAACCUGUUUUGUAAUCGAUAGUCCACGUUGAACCUUACUUAAAUUUGUUUAUAUAGUUUAUAUAUCGUUGUUUAUAGAAUCUUUUAUUAAAAUAAUAAUUUUCAAAAAUUUUUAUAAAAAAAUAUAUCAGAUCAAGAUGUAGCUUAUGUUUAAGUUUAUAAUGGGUUACAAUAAAAUUAUUUUUGGAAAUAGAUUUAAAAUAAUUUAUUGAAAUUGGAUUUGAUAGUAAAUUUAUAUAGAUAAAUAUGUUGAUUUUAGCUCUAAAAUAUG